rnacentral:lncRNA from 1 species
CUCUCCUCCCCCAGGCCCAGCCUUCUGCAGAGUUGCAUGACACCCAGUCUGGAAGUGGUCCAGGAAGCUGAAUGUUUAGCUUUGAAUAACUGCCAUGAAAGCUUUCACCUCCAAAGCAAGGGGAAGAGAUGUUUAUAAGGAAUCAGAAAGACGUGGGUUCAAAUUCAAGUUCCAGUGCUAGCUAAUGGAAUGUCCUUGUCAAGUCAACUAACCACAUUUUAAAAAAACACUAUAAAAUGGGAAAAUAAAAGGACCUAUUUGCAAGGUUGUUGCAUGUAUUGAAAGAGACAGUACAAAGCCCUUGCUAUAGUGACCACUCAUGGGAAACACCGUAAAUAAUGGCUGUCAUCAUAACUAGCACCAACAGCAUCAUCUUCCACACCAUAGUCCUGACACCCUACUAAGCAGUCUUGACUUUUUAUAAUCCCACUUCUUCCCUUUCCACAGUAGGAUUGGAAUAAUUAUGAUUAGUUCACAGAAUUCGUGUUUAUUAAGUUCUAGGACAGGACCUAACACUUAGCCCUCAAAACACAUAAAUCCAUUCCUCUCUCCCCUUUAAGUUAAAUUUCCGUUAAGUGUGGUUGAAUUUGACUAUCAAGUUUCCCAACUUUCAAGCCUGGUGUGGUGGCGCACGUCUUUAAUCCAAGCACUCGGGAGGCAGAGGCAUGCAGAUUUCUGAGUUUGAGGCCACAACAAAGUGAGUUCCAGGAUAGCCAGGGCUAUACAGAGAAACCUUGUCUCAAACAAACAAAUAAAAAACAAACAAACAAACAAACAAAAAAGUUUCCUAACUUUCUUUUAAAAUGUGGCUGGAUUUAAUUUUCAAGAGGCAGAAUCUGGCUAAUAUUACAUGGCUGCACUGAGGACCCAGAAGCCAAGAGGGCAGAAGCAAUGACUUGUCCAGAGGAGAUGCUGCUGUGUCAGCAUCUUGGUAUAAACCUUAUUCAGAUCAAUAAAGCAUUACAGAGAUGUAUUCAAGGGAGAGAAGCAAGUGGAGAGACAAUAUCUUCACAAUGUUAUAAUUUUUAAAGAUUCAUUUUAUUUCAAUGUAGGUGUGAAUGAAUAUGUGGCUAUCCAUGAAAGCCAGAAGACAGUGUUACGGUGAGGAGCUGCCUGGGUAUGGGUUCUGGGACUUCUGGUCCUCUAUGAGCUAGCUCUUAACUGCUGAGUCAUCUCCUUAGAUCUGCUCUUCAGUGUUUAAAAGCUAACAAUGUCCCUGCACUUAUGUGCACGUGCAUGAGUGAGUUUUAAGACAUGCUCAUUAUAUCACGUCACUAUGACAAACACCUCAGAGAACUCCAUUAACCAUGGAGAAGUCUGUAUACCCUCACUUCAGAGCUCUCAGCCUAGGCUCAGCUGUUCCAUUCUCAGCUUUGGGUCCAAGGUGAAGCAGAAUCAUGAUGGUGGGUUUGUGGAAAGGAGGCUUCUCAUCUCAUAGUGGCCAGAAAGCCGACAUCCCGACUUGAUGGGCUUCUUCCUUCUACUCUGUUGCAUCUAGCCCUCAGUUUAUUGGACAGUGCUAUUAUCCGUAGUUAGGAUGGAUUUUCCCCUGCAGUUGCUGACUGUUGUGGGCACUGGGAUCUGGACUGAGGUCCAUGGCAGUCAUCUCUGGAGAUGUCUGCAUGAUC